rnacentral:lncRNA from 1 species
AAAAGCCUUCAUACUUCGAGGAAUUACUGUGUUGGCUGAGUUCGUCGAUGCUCACAAUUGAAAGCAAUAUUGUCUUUUAAUUUGUUUGUUUUUGUUUGGCUAAGAGAGAAUCGAGGGAGGGGCUCUUCUAAGGAAGCUCCAGUGCCUGAUGGCCCACAACUGGGCACACUGUUAACUGAUGGAGGGGUUUGCUCUUCCAAAAUAAUGUACUUAUGCAGUUACACAGGUCAAGUUAAAACAUGGUUAAAUAGUGAUACACCAAUCUUACUUGUGUAAUUCAACAAAUUAACUGUACCCAUGCGUUCAUUACAUUUAGCGGGUACCUGAAACAUUUGAAAAAAGUUUUCUAUCCUGGUUGCUUUUGUUCUUGAAGCCAGAAAUAAAUAAGCCUACAGAGAAAUAAGACAAUGUUCAAGGUGGUAAUGAGCAUUUCCGUGGUAAGACGAUAAUCGGUUGCUCAAGAUGGACUAGGGGGCGAAUCCAUCAUUUAGUCCAAGGUUCUUUUUACGGCUUUUGGUUAAAACAAAACAAAUAUCAAUUAAGUGGUUUCUCCAACACUAAAAGAUCCAUUGUGUUCAAAUGAGUACAUAUAUCUAGGAAGACCAACCUCCAGAGAACAGGGAUCCUGAGCUCUGGGUCCAGAUACAGCACCAACGCCCCUGGGAAUCCAGUCAAACUGAGCUAUGCUCCUGGAAGAGGACUCCAAUGAUGUGAAUCAUAUUUGUGUGUUUCUUUUCUUUAAACCUUCCACACACACACACGCAGAAGAAAGAAAAUGAAAUCACUCUAAAAUAUAUAAAGAGAUAUCAAAGAGAGUAUACCGAGGGCCAAGUGUCAGACGCAACAGGUUCACAGAGAAAAGACAUUCAAUUAAAAUGGAGGAAAAAAAAUACAAAAAGAAAAUUACAUUGAAGUUGAAAUCAUUUUUUUAGUAAGCGAUGCUUUUGGAAAUGGUUUUGUUGUUGAGAGGGUCGACCAGGUGACCCACCCUCUGGAAUGUCAUAUAACUGCAUAGUAGUAUUCAGACCGGCGUCUCCCAAUAGAGUACCAUGUUGGCUUCAUUGAAUUAUCUCGAUAGUUAAAUCUGUAUUUUAGUAGCAUUGAAAGAGUACGGUGGUCAAUAGAAGCUGGCUAAAUGUAUCGCCUCAAAUAAAAAAUACAAUACAAAAAAAAAAUAAUGAAAUGGAAAACCAAAACAUUUGGAUAAGUCACACCAAAUCCGUUCACUUCUCUGCAUAACGUUUUGCUUGGCAACAGAGACCAAAGUUCUGCAACAGAUGCAAAGCGU